GACGAACGCUGGCGGCGUGCCUAAUACAUGCAAGUCGAGCGCUGAAGGGUGGUACUUGUUCCUACUGCAUUAGCAGCGAACGGGUGAGUAACGCGUGGGUAAUCUGCCUUUGAGCGGGGGAUAACAUUGGGAAACGAAUGCUAAUACCGCAUAAAAUCUUUAAACACAUGGUUUAAGAUUGAAAGAUGCAAUUGCAUCACUCAAAGAUGAUCCCCCGUUGGAUUAGCUAGUUGGUGAGGUAAAGGCUCACCAAGGCGAUGAUACAUAGCCGACCUGAGAGGGUGAACGGCCACAUUGGGAACGAGACACGGCCCAAAAUUCCUAGGGGGGCAGCAGUAGGGAAUCUUCGGGCAAGGAGGAAAGUCUUGCCGGGGCACGCCGGGGGAGUGAAGAAGGGUCUCGGGUCGUAAAAAUCUGUUGGUAGGGAAGAAAGAUAGUUGGAGUGGAAAGCUCAUGACGUGACGGUACCUACUCAGAAAGCCACGGCUAACUACGUG
rnacentral:rRNA from 1 species